rnacentral:rRNA from 1 species
CUACGUGCCAGCAGCCGCGGUAAUACGUAGGUCCCGAGCGUUGUCCGGAUUUAUUGGGCGUAAAGCGAGCGCAGGCGGUUAGAUAAGUCUGAAGUUAAAGGCUGUGGCUUAACCAUAGUACGCUUUGGAAACUGUUUAACUUGAGUGCAAGAGGGGAGAGUGGAAUUCCAUGUGUAGCGGUGAAAUGCGUAGAUAUAUGGAGGAACACCGGUGGCGAAAGCGGCUCUCUGGCUUGUAACUGACGCUGAGGCUCGAAAGCGUGGGGAGCAAACAGGAUUAGAUACCCUGGUAGUCCACGCCGUAAACGAUGAGUGCUAGGUGUUAGACCCUUUCCGGGGUUUAGUGCCGUAGCUAACGCAUUAAGCACUCCGCCUGGGGAGUACGGCCGCAAGGUUAAAACUCAAAUGAAUUGACGGGGGCCCGCACAAGCGGUGGAGCAUGUGGUUUAAUUCGAUGCAACGCGAAGAACCUUACCUACUCUUGACAUCCA